UUGUGGAGGAGGACGCCGAAGGUGGGGCUAAUGACUGGGGUGAAGUCGUAACAAGGUAGCCGUACCGGAAGGUGCGGCUGGAUCACCUCCUAACAGGGAGACAACAAAAUGUAAAUAUUAAUUUUGUCACCUUAGGUCGAUCGGUAUCUCAGAUUCUUCUUUUAUAAGAAUUUCAGUUUCUAAGUUUUUUCUAGGUCACACCCAUCACUUUUUCCUGGGCCAUUAGCUCAGGUGGUUAGAGCGCACCCCUGAUAAGGGUGAGGUCCCUGGUUCAAGUCCAGGAUGGCCCAUAUCUCUAUGUUGGGGGUAUAGCUCAGUUGGUAGAGCGCCUGCUUUGCAAGCAGGAUGUCAGCGGUUCGAGUCCGCUUACCUCCACUGAAUACCACCUCUUACAUAUAUUUAAAGAGGGAAAUUGUUGUUAGUCGUGUCCUAAUUUGCUCUGAGCGAAUCUAGCUUCCUAUUUUAUUCAAUAAAUAAGAUGCUGGACUCAUUGAAUUUUUUUCAUUGUUUUCAGAGAACCUUGACAACUGCAUAGAUUAUUUUUGAAGACAAUAAGCAUCUUUAAUGAUGCAGAUUUAUUAUUUGUGCGAAUGCAUUAAAUAACAAUUCUAUUAAGCUGAUGCUUCAAUUAUUGAAGUUAUUGGUCAAGCUACAA
rnacentral:misc_RNA from 1 species